UACGAAGGGGGCUAGCGUUGUUCGGAUUUACUGGGCGUAAAGCGCACGUAGGCGGCUCUUUAAGUCAGAGGUGAAAUCCCAAGGCUCAACCUUGGAACUGCCUUUGAUACUGGGGAGCUUGAGUCCGGGAGAGGUGAGUGGAACUGCGAGUGUAGAGGUGGAAUUCGUAGAUAUUCGCAAGAACACCAGUGGCGAAGGCGGCUCACUGGCCCGGUACUGACGCUGAGGUGCGAAAGCGUGGGGAGCAAACAGG
rnacentral:rRNA from 1 species